rnacentral:rRNA from 1 species
AGAAUCAACGCUGGCGGCGUGCCUAACACAUGCAAGUCGAACGCGAAAGUCCCGCAAGGGAUCAGUAGAGUGGCAAACGGGUGAGUAACGCGUGGGUGACCUGCCUUCGAGCGGGGGAUAACGUCCCGAAAGGGGCGCUAAUACCGCAUAACAUCCUGUCUUUGAAGAGGUGGAGAUCAAAGCUGGGGAUCGCAAGACCUAGCACUCGAAGAGGGGCCCGCGUCCGAUUAGCUAGUUGGUGAGGUAACGGCUCACCAAGGCUCCGAUCGGUAUCCGGCCUGAGAGGGCGGACGGACACACUGGGACUGAGACACGGCCCAGACUCCUACGGGAGGCAGCAGUGGGGAAUUGUUCGCAAUGGGCGCAAGCCUGACGACGCAACGCCGCGUGGAGGAUGAAGAUCUUCGGGUCGUAAACUCCUUUCGAUCGAGACGAAUGGCCUCCGGGUGAACAAUCCGGAGGAGUGACGGUACCGAGAGAAGAAGCCCCGGCUAACUCCGUGCCAGCAGCCGCGGUAAUACGGGGGGGGCAAGCGUUGUUCGGAAUUACUGGGCGUAAAGGGCUCGUAGGUGGCCAACUAAGUCAGACGUGAAAUCCCUCGGCUUAACCGGGGAACUGCGUCUGAUACUGGAUGGCUUGAGUGUGGGAGAGGGAUGCGGAAUUCCAGGUGUAGCGGUGAAAUGCGUAGAUAUCUGGAGGAACACCGGUGGCGAAGGCGGCAUCCUGGACCACGACUGACGCUGAGUGAGCGAAAGCCAGGGGAGCAAACGGGAUUAGAUACCCCGGUAGUCCUGGCCCUAAACGAUGAAUGCUUGGUGUGACGGGUAUCGAUCCCUGUCGUGCCGAAGCUAACGCAUUAAGCAUUCCGCCUGGGGAGUACGGUCGCAAGGCUGAA